UUCCCACCCUCCUGGGGACCCCUAAAACCCCCUGAGGGCACCAAGAACCCCUUUCCCACCCUCUGAGCAACUCCAGGACCCCCAUCCCAUCCCCUGAGGACCCCCAGAACUACCUGAGGAUCCCAAGAACUCCUUUUCCCACCACCCUGGGGACCCCCAGCACCCUCUUCCCAUCCCCUGAGGACCCCCAGAACUACCUGGGGACCCCCAGAACUACCAGAGGAUCCCAAGAACCCCUUUUCCCACCACCCUGGGGACCCCCAGCACCCUCAAGUGACCCGUACCAGGCAGAGCCAUCCCCCCAACCCCGCAGUGACGCCUGGGGAGGACAAACCCCGUCCCCCAAUUUUCCCCCCAAAAAAGCUGAGAAGCUGCAGCUGCAGCGGCAGCUGGACCAGGCCGGCUCCUCCAAGAAGAGCCUGGAGGAGAGCGGGCGGCAGUGCCAGCAGGAGCUGGCCAAAGCCACCCAGGACAGGGACAAGUGCCAGCAGGAGCUGCGCGGCGCCAGGACCGAGGGCGACUUCAGCAGGACCGAGCUGCAGCUGCAGAGACGCGAGUGCCGCUCCGUCCAGAGCGACCUGAGCGACAAAUUCCCCAGGAUUUCGGAUUUGCUGAAGCAAUUCCGCUGCGGGGAAGCCGAGGGCGAGCUGAGGCAGAUGCGGGAUCGAGCCGAGGCGCUUUUCCGGCGGCAGCAGGAGCGCGAUUCCCAGUUCAUCUGGAAGGAAAGCUGCGAGCUGAGCGUGCAGCAGUGUCACCUCAACUGCUCCCGCGAAAUGCAGGAGCUGCAGAAGAGGAUCCAGGGCUUGGAGAAGAAGGAGAAGGACGGGCUGGAGGAGAGGAGGAAGCUGGAGGAGGAGAAGGAGAAGGCGGGGAAGGAGCUGGAGGAGAAGAGGAGGGCCGUGAUGGUGCAGGUGGAGGCGCUGAGGGAGCAGCUCGUGUACUGCAUGGCAGCCAAGGACAUGCCGGCCCUGCGGGGGCCGGGCAGCACCGCCCGCUCGGGCGCCUUCCCCGGCCUCGGCCCCUACCUGGACCUGCUGAGGAACCCGGCCACCCUGGGUGAGUCCCUGUGGGGACAGGGGACACUCUGCGGGGUCACUGUGCCACCCUGGGGACCCUGGGUGAGUCCCUGUGGGGACAGGGGACACUCGGGGGGUCAUUGUGCCAUCCUGGGUGCCCGUCCCAUAGCAUCCCAUGGAUCCCAUAGCAUCCCAUGCAUUCCAUCCCAUCCCAUCCCAUGGAUCCCAAUUCCCAGUUCCAUGGAUCCCAAUUCCCAGUUCCAUGGAUCCCAAUCCCAUGGAUCCCAUCCCAAUCCCAUCCCAAUCCCAUGGACCCCAUCCCAUGGACCCCAUCCCAUGGACCCCAUCCCAUGGAUCCCAAUUCCCAAUCCCACGGAUCCCAAUUCCCAAUCCCAUGGAUCCCAAUUCCCAAUCCCAUGGAUCCCAACCCCAUCCCAUGGAUCCCAUCCCACGGAUCCCAAUUCCCAAUGCAAUAGAUCCCAAUUCCCAAUCCCACGGAUCCCAAUUCCCAAUCCCACGGAUCCCAAUUCCCAAUCCCAUGGAUCCCAAUCCCAUCCCAUGGAUCCCAAUCCCAUGGAUCCCAUCCCCGCCAGGCAAGUGGACCCCGGAGGAGCACCAGCAGCAGCUGGAGCAGCUCAUGGCCGCCAGGAACAACCCCAGCGGAUAACUCUGGGGAAAACAAAAACCCCAAAAAUCCAUGGAAAACGCAGGAGCCGCCCGGGAAGUGCUUCCCGCAGCACGGAUGGCAAACCCCGCCCCGGGGCCACCCUCCCUUUGUCCCCUUUGUCCCCUUUGUCCCCAACCCCACCCCGCGUGUCCCCUCGGAUGUAUCAUCCCCGCCUUUUUUUUGGCUGGAGCGGGACAACAGCCGGCCCCGAAUUUUGGGGACAACUCGCCGCCGGUGUGGAUGGAAAUUCAUGGAGGGGGAGAAAAAAAAUAUUGGGAUGGGGAGCGGGAAUUUCGGGAAUUUCGGGGAUUGCAGAGGGGUGGGAAAGGCUCGAGGACGAGGGGACAGGGAUGUCCUUUGUCACCGCGCUGUCCUUGUCCCCUCGGAGCGGGACAGGGAUUUGUUCUCGGGAUUUUACAGCCGCGUUUCCUGUGGAAAAUCCUUUUCCUGCCUCGCCGCCUCUGUGCCCGCACGCCAGGCGCCACCACAGUGUCCCUUGUCCCCUCGGGCGGUCCCCGAGUGUCCCCCGAGCCGUGCCCGUGCCCCCAUCAGGCCGCUGCCACCUCCUGCCACCCCUCUGAGGGUGGCGAUGUCACCGCGUCCCCCCUUUUCCCCCUCCCUGCCCAGCUCCGGGAUGGGAUGGCGGCGACAAAGGUGACGAAGGUGACAAAUGUGACAAAUUCUCACCGUUCCCCCCCCCAAGGUCUGGGCAGGGAGGGCCUCAGGCACCGCCAGAGGAUUUCCUGGAAUUCCUCCGUGGAUAAUCUUGGAGCACCAGGUGCUUCCCGAGCCCCCGGAGCGCCGGCUGGGGGGUGGCACGGAGGGGACAGGGGUGUCCCCAAGAGAUGGCACCGUUUUUGGGGGUGGCAGAGCCCCACAUCUCCCGUGGAUUGGGGGAAUUUCCUGGAUUGGGAUGGAUCCUGGGGUUUGGAAUUUCCUGGAUUGGGAUGGAUCCUGGGGUUUGGAAUUUCCUGGAUUGGGAUGGAUCCUGGCGUUUUUGGGGUGGCAAAGCCCCACAUCUCCAAGGGAUUGGGGGAAUUUCCUGGAUUGGGAUGGAUCCUGGGGGUCCCAAACUCCUCAAGCUGAAUCCUCAGGCGUUGGGGACACAGGGAUGUCACACUGAGGGACGGGGACACCCCAAGGUGUGGACACACCCAGGGGUGGCUUUUUCCCUUCCAGCUCCCCCUGGCCAAGAAAUGGGACUUUUCCUGGUUUUUUUGGGGUUUUUUUCCCAAAAAUUCGGGUUUUGGGACACGCCACCACUAAGGAGACGACGCCAAAGCCACCAAAGCCCCGCGGUUUAUUCCCGGCGACACCGCGACAGAAGCGUCGCCGUCACUUCCCCACGCAAAAAUCCCUAAAAAUGAUAUCCAGGACCUCCUCCGCUCCCACCUGCCCCGUGAUCCUGCCCAGCUCCCGCCGUGCCACCCGCAGCUGCUCGGCUGCCACCGCCAGGUCGCCGAUGUCGCCGCUGUCGCCUCUGUCGCCGCUGUCGCCGCGGCCGAAGCGCGACAGCGCCGCCGCGCACGCCCCGAGGUGGCGGCUGUGCCUGCUCUGGGUCAGGCUGGGGGACCCCAAAAGGGGAUCCCCGCACCUGGAAAAGGAGAUUGGGGGUGGGAAAAGGGGAUUGGGAACCCCGAAAGGGGAUUGGGAAACCCAAAAGGGAUUGGGAACCUCAAAAGUGGAUCCCCGCACCUGGAAAAGGGGAUUGGGUGUGGGAAAAGGGGAUCCCUGCACCUGGAAAAGGAGAUUGGGGGUGGGAAAGGGGAUUGGGAACCCCAAAAGGGGAUUGGAAACCUCAAAAGGGGAUUGGGAAACCCAAAAGGGGAUCCCCACAUCUGGAAAAGGGGAUUGGGUGUGGGAAAAGGGGAUUUGGAACCCCAAAAGGGGAUUGGGAACCCCGAAAGGGGAUUCCUGCAUCUGGAAAAGGGGGAUAGGGGAUGGGAAAAGGGGAUUGGGAACCCCAAAAGGGGAUCCCCGCACCUGGAAAAGAGGGAUCAGGUAUGGGAAAGGGGGAUUAGAGAUGGAAAAAAGGGAAUCGGGCAGGGAAAAGUGGGUUUGAGCAUGGAAAAGGGAGACCAGCCACGGAAAAGGGAAAUCAGCCACGGAAAAACAGGAUCAGCCAUGGGGAACAAAGGGGCUGAUCCAGCCCGGAGCCCCCCAGACCCUGGGAUGGGGAUUUGGGAUCCCCCCCAAACCCUGGGAUGAGGAUUUGGGAUCCCCCCCAGACCCCGGGAUGGGAAUUUGGGAUCCCUCCCCAAACCCCGGGAUGAGGAUUUGGGAUCCCCCCAGACCCCGGGAUGGGGAUUUGGGAUCCCCCCAGACCCCGUGAUGGGGAUUUGGGAUCCCCCCAGACCCCGGGAUGAGGAUUUGGGAUCCCCCCAGACCCUGGGAUGGGGAUUUGGGAUCCCCCAGACUCACAGCUGGACCAGCUGCUGCCUCAGCACCUCCAGCAGCUCCUGCAGCCCCUGGCCUGUGUGGCAGGACAGGAGGGUGACAGGGGGACCCUGGGCACAGGUGACACUCGGGGACCCCCCGGGCCCCCCCAGAAGGUCGGCCUUGUUCAGCACCAGCACACAGGGCACGUCCGGGGGGGGCUCCAGCGCCGCCAGCGCCGCCCCCAGGGCCACCGGCGUGGGGGACACCGCGGUGACAUCAAGCACUGCCAGCACCAGGUCAGCCUGGGACAGCCUGAGGGGACACGGGGCAGUGUCACCUCCCAGGGAUGAUGUGGGUGACACUGAGGUGACAUUGAACACUGACAGCACCAGGUCAGCCUGCGACAGCCUGAGGGGACACGGGGCGGUGUCACCCCCCAGGGCCACCGGCGUGGGUGACACUGAGGUGACAUCCAGCACUGCCAGCACCAGGUCGGCCUGGGACAGCCUGAGGGGACACGGGGCAGUGUCACCUCCCCAGGGCCAGGUCAGCCUGGGACAGCCUGAGGGGACACGGGGCAGUGUCACCCCCCAGGGCCAGGCCAGCCUGGGACAGCCUGAGGGGACAGGGAUUCCCUCUGGAAUUUUGGGAAUCAUCCUGAUCCCUCCACACCCACAGGUGACACAACGGCUUGGGGACACUGAGAAUGAUUCCCUCUGGAAUUUUGGGAAUUAUCCCAGCCUGGGACGGUCUGGGGACACUGAGAAUGAUUCCCUCUGGAAUUUUGGGAAUUAUCCCCACUUUUCUCCACCCAGUCCCCACCACGGGUGACACCCCGCCCUGGGGACAGCGGGAAUGGUUCCCUCUGGAAUUCUGGGGACCCCGAACUCACCGUGCCCGUGCCCGUGCCACCCCCUCCUGCUCCACGGGGUCGGUGGCGUGUCGCAGCCCCGCGGUGUCACUGAGCACCAGCGGGUACCCCCCGAUGUCCAGGGCCACCUCCAGGACGUCCCGCGUGGUCCCCGCCACAGGGGACACGAUGGCGGCCGGGCGCCGGCCUGGGGACAGCCACAGGGGUCACCCCGGGGAUUGUCCCAGCCUGGGGACAGCCACAGGGGUCACCCCGGGGAUUGUCCCACCCUGGGGACAGCCACAGGGGUCACCCCGGGGAUUGUCCCA
ensembl:lncRNA